UAGGGAAUCUUCCACAAUGGACGCAAGUCUGAUGGAGCAACGCCGCGUGAGUGAAGAAGGUUUUCGGACCGUAAAGCUCUGUUGUUGGUGAAGAAGGAUAGAGGUAGUAACUGGCCUUUAUUUGACGGUAAUCAACCAGAAAGUCACGGCUAACUACGUGCCAGCAGCCGCGGUAAUACGUAGGUGGCAAGCGUUGUCCGGAUUUAUUGGGCGUAAAGCGAGCGCAGGCGGAAGAAUAAGUCUGAUGUGAAAGCCCUCGGCUUAACCGAGGAAUUGCAUCGGAAACUGUUUUUCCUUGAGUGCAGAAGAGGAGAGUAGAACUCCAUGUGUAGCGGUGGAAUGCGUAGAUAUAUGGAAGAAUACCAGUGGCGAAGGCGGCUCUCUGGUCUGCAACUGACGCUGAGGCUCGAAAGCAUGGGUAGCGAACAGGAUUAGAUACCCUGGUAGUCCAUGCCGUAAACGAUGAGUGCU
rnacentral:rRNA from 1 species